AGUGACCGCUGGCGGUAGGCCUAACACAUGCAAGUCGAACGGCAGCACAGUAAGAGCUUGCUCUUACGGGUGGCGAGUGGCGGACGGGUGAGGAAUACAUCGGAAUCUACUUUUUCGUGGGGGAUAACGUAGGGAAACUUACGCUAAUACCGCAUACGACCUACGGGUGAAAGCAGGGGAUCUUCGGACCUUGCGCGAUUGAAUGAGCCGAUGUCGGAUUAGCUAGUUGGCGGGGUAAAGGCCCACCAAGGCGACGAUCCGUAGCUGGUCUGAGAGGAUGAUCAGCCACACUGGAACUGAGACACGGUCCAGACUCCUACGGGAGGCAGCAGUGGGGAAUAUUGGACAAAGGGCGCAAGCCUGAUCCAGCCAUACCGCGUGGGUGAAGAAGGCCUUCAGGUUGUAAAGCCCUUUUGUUGGGAAAGAAAAGCAGCAGGUUAAUACCCCGCUGUUCUGACGGUACCCAAAGAAUAAGCACCGGCUAACUUCGUG
rnacentral:rRNA from 1 species